AGGACAUUGAUCCGUUACCAAACCGCAGUCUAGAGAGCCAGUCACAAUUCGGACUCCCACCAGAAACCACUCAAAUAUUGCAGGAGAAGGAUUGGAUCUUAUUUUGCUGGGAGAAGAGAUUGGGAGAAGAGGAUGGAAGACCAUACUGAGCCUGAGAGGCAGAGAGAGCCCUGCUGGAGGUCCAUCAGAAGUCAGGCCAGCUGACCGCUAAUUCAGCAGAGCCAUCUGUCCUCCCUCACCAGGCACAAGAGAAGACAGAGACGGCCAGGCAGAGAGCAGGGCUCCUGGGAAGCACCGGCCAGGCUGCGUUCGGCCCAGGCGGGCGAGUGCGGCCUCUCCUCUUGUCCCCAGGCGCUGGUUCCACUGGAGCGAUGCUCCUGGAAGCCGUGGCGCUGGCCGGCCGGGGGGAGCCGCCCUGGCGUGUGCACGGCCCCACUGCGCGCGAGUCCCCCGGCGGGGAGCCCCGCGUCCGCCGCAUCGCCGCCUGGGCUCGCGGAGCUGGGACCUUCAUCCGCCACCUGAAGCGUAGGGAGCCGGCUUGGCCGCUGGAAAGCCUUGGAUUUUCUUAUCCCUGCCUCCCUGCCCGCCGCGCGAGGGAGGCGUGUCGUCCCUCUGUCUUUGCUUUCAGGUUCACUCAGGUUCCUUCCGGCAAACCUCAAACACAGACUUCUUCCUGUGGAUUUGAUCUUGAACUUCCUGAAGAAGCAACCAGUGGCCCAUGCCAGCUGUAGCCAUUGCCAUAGGGAGAGGCUGGGGUCUCACCUUCGGGCAAAAUCUCUGGGUCUAGCGCCAGUGUGGGCGGAGUUCCCUUUGGACCCCUGAGACUCCGCCACGGAUGUUGACGUUGUGGCUAGAGGAGGCCACAGGGCCGGCUGGGGGCUGUGCUGGCCUCAUCCUCGCAGGUGCCCUGCAUGGGGUGCAGCCCAGAGGCCCACCUGGAUUCCUGGUGCAGGUGGGGGAGACUGUGGCGGAAGCAGAAGCCAUGGAGGGCCCAGGCCCUGGCACGGUUAGGAUGUCUGUGCCGCUCUGCAUGGUGGCCUGGCCAGGGCUGGCCCCCUCCCAGAGUGGGGAAUUCCUGCUCUCAUUUGUGCUGGUGGAGAGGUCGCUGUUGGCAGGGGGACUGGGGUGGUCUUCUGCCCCCGCGGCUGGGUAGGGGGCUGGCAGGCAUAUCGGCUGUGCUGUGGCCCUGUCGCCUGAUCCUCCUCAGGACCUGCGUGGCUCCUCUGAGUAUUCUUAGGGUAGCAGUUAAAGGUGUGAAUGGCGGGCUGCUGAAACUGUGCUGCUUGCGGUUGGCAGAGCCCUGUGCUGUUCCUCGGGGCUGGGGAAGGGGCGCUGCUGUUGUGAGGUCAGCUGGAGGCUGAGGCUUCGGGGUGGAGGGGGGCGCCCUCUCCUCGGAUCAGGAGCAGGUAUGUGGCCGGUACCUCGUUGUAUUUCUGGCCCAUUAGUGAGUCCUGGAUCUCUCUUUCCGUGUGUAACCCACGGACACCAUGAAUUCAGCCCGCGGGGGACCUUGUAGUCAGGGAGUGGCUCCACGUUGGGCUUUAGUUCCUCAUAUUCAUGACCCACAAUAACUCAUGGAUCCUUCACGAUUUGCUCUUAUUUCUCCUCGAGAAUCAGAAAUUUCUUAAACAGAUUUUCACAUUCUGUGAACACGUGGGAGGGUAUAUAACAUUCUGCUCGGUACCUGCUCCCACAUCUCUGAGAAGUUCUCUCCAUGGAAAGGCAGGAAUCCGCCAACCAGUGCAUGUAGAAUAACUUCCAGACUCCAUAUAUCCACCAGGUCACACUUUGACCCUGGCAGAGUUCCGGGGCUGCAUCGGGGGGCUGCCACAGAAGGUAUCCAGCUUGUUGUAAAACGUGAACUUGUGCUGAGGCCAAAGUAUGCAAUCCUGAUGUUCAGGCCAGAAUCCAAGGGCACCUUUUCUGCCUUUGUCUCUAUGGGCAAUACGCUUCUGGUGACAGUUUGCACAGCAGACACCGUCUGGUGGAAUUUGCCUUCAGCCUCUCGUCCUUCCUACUGCCAUGAGCCCUAGGGACUCAAACACCCCUCCUCCACCAGCGCCCCGCCUAACAAGGCAGAGAGUUUCCUCAGCCGCCGUCACUUCAGAUACUUCACUAUGUUGGGAUGAUCCAAGCCUUCACGAUUCCUGCCUGUGGGACAGUCUCUGGACUGGAGGAGGCGAGUCUCCUUACUGACCUUCCCGGCUCUCGCUUCCCCAGUCAGGAUGUGCUGCGCCCCCUUCACCCCAGCCGUGACUCUCCCCAGUGGUCUGCCGGAGACGCAGUCAGCAUGAGCCUCUCAGCAGAGGUGGCUGAGGGGCCGCAAUGUGUUGGACUCACUGCCGCGCUUGGAGACGAGGAGGAACUGGUCUUUCUAAGGGAACCACAAUGCCAGACAAAAAAGAAAAAUAAAUACCGACAAACUAAAUUUUAAAAUAUUGAGUAAAAAGAAUUUAAAAAUGAUAAAAGUAAAGAUGAAAGAAUAAAGAAAUGAGAAAAAGGAAAGAAAAGAAAACCCCAACUACCAAAGUAACCCAGAAUACCAUGGAGGAAACAAGCUAGAGACUUGGUCAAAGUCCCUCAGGUCACUGAAAAGUAGCUUCCUGAACUAGAAGGACUGAUAACCUAGGCCCAGCCAGGGACUUGUUUGGUUCCUGGAGUUUCCAAACAGCAGCUCCUUGUGAAGGGAUAGGAAGAAACAGAACUCUCAGCAAGUGGUUUUCACAACAAUCGAUAAUGCACAGUGAUUUUCUCACUUUCUGGGCUCAAGUGAGACCCUUUACUGUUAAAAAAAUUAUUGAGGACCCCAGAGAGCUUUUUGUUUAUAUGGGUUAUGGCUGUGAAUAUUUAUCUUAUUGGAAAUUGAAAACUGUAGAUUGCUUCAGUGCCUUUUCAUUUCUAGUUUGAAAAGCCGUAAUAAUUUUUGGCUUUUAAAGAGCCCAUAAGGCAUACACUUAAUAUAUUCAAUUCCUUUUUCUCUAAACUCUAAGUGAUUGGUCUCAAAAUGACACCACAACUUAACUGGCAUUGUGAUACUGUGUGAAAGUAUUCUGUUGCAUAAGAUAUAGUAAGGUACGUUAUUAACAUCUAGAAAGUUGAAUGGAAGAUAGUUCUCAUAUCUUCUUAUUUACAGUUUUGCCCCAGUUCUUAGGAGUCAAUUUCUUCCUUCCAGGAGCCAGAGAACUCGCUAUGUUAGUUUCAGUGUCUUUAACUGUAGAGGUUGCAGCUGUGAGCUGAGAAAAGCAUGUCUUCUUCUCUUUUUUUUUUCUCUUUUUAAACCGACAAUCCGUGCCCUGUGUACCUCUUAUUCAGCAUGGGAUGGGGGUAGGGGCAUCUGGGUGUUGGACAUGUCACUGGUACCUCAGAGGAGGGAACCAAGAUAUCCCUACAUGAUUUUAAAAAUGUUUCCUUGAAGUAUAAUACAGAUGGAGAAAAAUGCACGAAUCAUCAGUGUGUCUCUUGGUGGCUGUUCACACAUUGAACUCGUGGACUUAACCAGCAUCCAGAUCAAGAAACAAGAUAUUCCCAGCUCCCCCAAGUCCCCUCGGCCCCCCUUUCCAGUCAUUUUCUCCUCCGCACUGGUGAUCACCAUUCUGUCUUGUGACAGCCUAAGUUAGUUUUGCUUGUUCUUGAACUUUACAUAAAUGGAAUCGCACAGUAUUAAAUCCUUUGUGUCCACUUCCUUUGCUCACUAUUUUUGUGAGAUUCAUCUAUAUUGUUUACUUUGUUAUUCUGAAUGCUGGGUAGUAACCUGUUUAUCCAUUUUGCUGUUACCAGGCAUUUGGGAAGUUCUCGUUGUUCAGCGUUCAGUGCUCUGAACAUUCUUGUUCCAACCUUUGGUGGACAUUUACAUGGUUUUCUGUUGGAUAUAUACCUAGAAAUGGAAUUGAUUGCUUAAAGGUAUGCAUAUUUUUGGUUUUAGUAGACACUGUUUGUGCCACUUAGCACACCCACCAGCAGUGGAUGAGAGUUCUGUUUCCUCUCUGAUACCUAGUAUUGCCUGCCUCUUAAUUUGAACCUUUCAGUGGGUAUGUCGUGUUGUAACAUUGUGGUUUUAAUUUGCAUUUCCCUGAUGCCUAAUGGAGUAGAACACCUUUUCGUAAGCUUAUUGGCCAUUUCCUCUUCUGUGGAGUGCCUGUUCAAGUCUUUUGCCCAUUUUUCUAUUGGGUUGCCUGUAUUUUUCUUAAUGGUUCGCACGUAUUCUUGUAUAGUUUGGGUAUGAAUACUUGUUUGGAUAUGGCCUGUGUGCAUUUCCUUUUCUCCCCACUCAUCCUGUUAGCUCUCUGAUCCCUCCUCCUACUAUUUUACUCAUUGGUCAUCCCUUUCCAGCCGUUGACUCCUUAUUUCUUGAACAUGCCCUGACAGACACAUACCUCACCUCAGAGCUCCACACUAGCUCCCAUUUCUGCCUGGAAUGUUUUUCCCAGAGAUCCACAUAGAUCUUUUCCCCAUCUCCUUCGAAUCUUUGCUCCACUGUCACCUUCUUACUGAAGCCUUCCCUGAUCUACAUACUUGGUCUUGCAAUACUCCUUACAUCCUAUCUGGCACCCCAUCCAUCACUUUAAAAAAAAAAGCAACUUUGUACUAAUGAAAAUUUCAAACGUACAAAAUUAGAGUAGUAUAAAGGCCUUUCCUUAUGUAUCACCUACCAUUAAUAAUUAGCAACAUUUUGCAAUCUUAUUUUAUUUUAUCCAUAAAUACUUCAGUCUGCAUCUUUAAUAGAUAAGUACUUUUUUGGCAAACACAGUCACCAUGCCAUCAUUGAUUCUAACAAAACUAGUAGUAUCAUAUAAUACCAGUCCACGUUCAAAUUUCCCAGUUGUCUCAAAGAUGUUAUAGUUGAUAUGUUUGAAUAAAGGUCCAAACAUUGGUACACACAAAGGUACACACAUUGCUUUAUUUUUUCCAUAGCAAUAUCACCGUACAAAACACUGUAUAUUUUAUAUAUUUAUUUGCUUAUUGUCUGUCUCUCUCAUUUGAAUAUCAACUUGAUGUGAGUGAGAUUUUUGUCUGUUUUGUUCUUUGCUGUAUCUUUAGCACUUAGAAUGGUUACUGGCACAUAGUAGGCUUGAAUAAAAUAUUUGUAGAAUGAAUGAAUGAAUGAAAUUAGCAACAUGGAGCUAAAGAUCCAUGGAGUAUGCUGUGUCGACAUGCUCAAAUUUGUUGCUUUCCAGCUUUAAAACUUUGGACAACUUCAUGAGCUUCAAUUUUCUUAUCUUUAAAAUGGGACUAAAAACACCAAGUCUGCAGAGUUGUUGUGAGAAUUAGACAAAAUAUGUGCAUAAUGUCCAGCACCUAGUGUACUCUCAGAAUAGCUAUUUUUAUUUUUCAUUGUAGCUGCCUUUAUAAGGCAUACACAGAUGAAAGAUGUGUCAUAAAGAAUUUGGCCUUGCCCAAAGAGGUCUGGCCUUUGUCCCUAGUUCCUGGGAGGUAGGCUUUAAACUCUUGGAAUUUUUCAAAUAUUAGGAAUGUCUUUGUUAUUCAUGGUGGGCCCCUUAGCCCACACCUCAUGGUUUAUGCUAAGGAGGUGACAUGGUAGGCUGCUUAGGCCAGGUGAUGUCAACUUGACCUCCAGAGAGUGGGGUGGGGCAGGAGACUGGGUCCAAUCCCAUGGGCAAUAACUCAUACUUAUGUAAUGAGGCCCCAAUAAAAACUCUAGACACUGAAGCUUGUGUGAGCUUCCCUGGUUGGCCACACUCCAUGCAUAUUGUCACACAUCAGUAUCAAUACUGGGAGGGUAAUGCAUUCUGAAGAUGAUGGGAGUUUUGUAUUUGGAACCUGUCAGACUCUACCCUAUGUGUCUCUUCUUUUGUCUAGUUUUGAUCUGUAUCCUUUCCCUGAAAUAAACUGUAACUAUAAUAGUUUUUGAUGAGUUCUAUGAUUCCUUUUAGCGAAUUAUUCAACCUAAGGGUGGUUUUUGAAACUUGAACUUGCAGUUGGGGUCAAUGGAAGCAGGACACCUGAGUUCUAGUCCAGGCUCACUUAAGUGGCUGUGUGAACUGGG
ensembl:lncRNA